rnacentral:lncRNA from 1 species
ACUUUUUCUGAAUUUUCCGCCAUUUUUACCCAGAUUCUCUUCUAGAAGUGAAU